rnacentral:rRNA from 1 species
UGAAUUGACGGGACCCCGCACAAGCGGUGGAUCAUGUGUUAAUUCGAUGAUACGCGAAGAACCUUACCAGGUCUUGACAUCCCUUGCAAAGCUAUGGAGACAUAGUGGAGGUUAUCAAGGAGACAGGUGGUGCAUGGUUGUCGUCAGCUCGCGUCGUGAGAUGUUGGGUUAAGUCCCGCAACGAGCGCGACCCUCGCUGUGUGUUACAAGUGUCACACGGAACUGCCGGUCAUAAACCGGAGGAAGGUGGGGAUGACGUCAAGUCAGCAUGGCCUUUAUAUCCUGGGCUACACACACGCUACAAUGGGAAGGGACAAUAGGUUGCGAAGCCGCGAGGCGGAGCCAAUCCAGCAAAACUUCCCUCAGUUCAGAUUGCAGGCUGCAACUCGCCUGCAUGAAGUUGGAGUUGCUAGUAAACGCAGGUCAGCCAUACUGCGUUGAAUACGUUCCCGGGGCUU